rnacentral:rRNA from 1 species
ACCAGGGUAUCUAAUCCUGUUUGCUCCCCACGCUUUCGCACCUGAGCGUCAGUCUUUGUCCAGGGGGCCGCCCUCGCCACCGGUAUUCCUCCACAUCUCUACGCAUUUCACCGCUACACAUGGAAUUCUACCCCCCUCUACAAGACUCUAGCCAACCAGUUUCAGAUGCAAUUCCCAAGUUAAGCUCGGGGCUUUCACAU